AUUGAACGCUGGCGGCAGGCUUAACACAUGCAAGUCGAACGGAGAGAGGUAGCUUGCUACUGAUCUUAGCGGCGGACGGGUGAGUAAUGCUUAGGAAUCUGCCUAUUAGUGGGGGACAACAUUUCGAAAGGAAUGCUAAUACCGCAUACGUCCUACGGGAGAAAGCAGGGGAUCUUCGGACCUUGCGCUAAUAGAUGAGCCUAAGUCGGAUUAGCUAGUUGGUGGGGUAAGGGCCUACCAAGGCGACGAUCUGUAGCGGGUCUGAGAGGAUGAUCCGCCACACUGGGACUGAGACACGGCCAAGACUCCUACGGGAGGCAGCAGUGGGGAAUAUUGGACAAUGGGCGGAAGCCUGAUCCAGCCAUGCCGCGUGUGUGAAGAAGGCCUUAUGGUUGUAAAGCACUUUAAGCGAGGAGGAGGCUACUUUAGUUAAUACCUAGAGAUAGUGGACGUUACUCGCAGAAUAAGCACCGGCUAACUCUGUGCCAGCCGCCGCCGUAACAC
rnacentral:rRNA from 1 species